GGAAGGAUUGGAAGCAGCAUCCCUAUGGGAGCGGGAGUGAGGGAAGAGGACCGGACCAGAGGAGAAGUUGAACCGCGGCGUAGCUACAACAGAAUCAUCAGCUGAUCCCAGGGGGAGAUCUCCAGCGGGGAUGGCCCUUCCGAGUUGUCCUGAAGAGAGGCCCUCAGUGGAUUGGAUGAGGCCCACGCACUUUCGGGAGGAAAACUGGCUUUACUGAGCCCAUUAAUUCAAAUGCCAGUCUCUUCUGGAAACACCCUCACAGACGCACCCAGAAGUAAGAUGUAAUCCGGCCAACCCACUGCCCGGUCGGUCAAGCUGACACAAAAUUGAGUUAACCAUCACAUACAGCCUUUAAAACAGCAUCCCGAAGUAUUUGAAGCAUUUAGCACCGGGGGCGACAGCUUAUCACCUGCUGAUAAGAGAAACAAGCCACGUGAAGGGAGACAGCAGAGAAGGCUGCAGACAGUCUGUGCAACUUUUACUCGCGCUUGCUUCGGGGUUACGGAUCAUCCGUUAUUGUUUUUACAUUUCUUUACAUUUUUCUGCAUUUGCCGUACUUUCCGCAAUGAACGGGGAUCGCUGUGAUGAGGAAAGGAAGGAAGAAAGCAAACCCCGGGGGCUCAGGCAGUACUGGAAUCUCUUCGCCGCCCAGAAGAAUCAGUUCAGGGGGGGUGCCUCCACACCUCGGGCCGUGGCCAUGUGGCUGUCCUCUUCCUGUAGACCUUCAGCUGGACCAGCGGCCACAUCCCCCUCCUCAGUGACCCCUCAGACAGGGGAGAAUCAAGGUGCCACAGGGCAGGCGGGAAUUCUGCCUGGGACUGGGGUGCUGGGGGUGGGUCCUAGGGGGUCCCUCACAACUGUGACCCACCCCAGGAGCCCUGGGUGAGGCCAAAUGGAGGGGUGUGGGGGAAAGGGAAGGCACACGAGAACUGGGCCUCGGCCCCCUCUGACCGCCUCUUGUCUGCCCUUCUCCACGCUCAGCCCAAGGCAACUGUCAGGAGUUGUCACGUGCCCUCUGUGAAAUCGCCUGGGAACACGGGGAGGGGACAUAACCCGGUCCUGUCCUCCUGUGGCAGGCUCAGGGAGGGCAGAGAGAGGCAUGGAGACGGGGGGUAGGGGCAGCGCGGGAGGCGAUGCGGGCUCUGCAGGAGAACCACAUGCGGCAGGGGAGGCCCUGCCAAGGUCCCUUGUGUUUGCAGGCAGUUUCCCUGAGAGGCCCUUGACCAUGGCGAGUUCCUGCGACUGCGGCCACCACACUAAGACCGAGCCGUCUUCCACCUCCUGGAGUCUCUCUGGAUGGCCAACGUGAACUGCCAGGGAAAAGUCACAGGCAAACAGGGCUCCCUGGCUGCCCAGGAGAAUGGCCAACAGGAUGGAACUAGGGCUGCAGAGGAAGGACUUUGGACAAGACCCCGUAUCGUUUUUGCAGCAUCCUGGAUGGCCAGCUCUGGGGCAAGCUGCUCGCCUGGGCAAGCUUGCCGGGCAAGCAAGCCGGGGUGGGGGCUUGUGAAGUUGGCAACAGGCUGUAGUGCUGGAGGAGGAGGAGGAAGAAGAAGAGAUCCUGGUGAGUAUAAUCAGUAGAACGGAGCAGAAACAGGAGUGACCUGGGGCCUCCCACCUCUCCCAUCCCUUCUCCCCCCCCCUCCCCCCACCUCCCAGGCCCCAGCGGGAGGGGAUUGCCAGAUUUAGCAAAUCAAAAUACGGGGUGCCCAGUUGAAUGUGAAUUACAGAUAAACAACAGAUCAUUUUUUAGUACAAGUAUAUCCCAGACAAACAACAGAGAAAUAUUGCAUGGGACAUACUCCUGCUAAAUACAUCUACUGGUAAACUUUUAGACCUGAGUGUAGGGUAAUAUUUCUGUGGGCAGGAGCCUUUCAAAUAUCCCUUCAAAUCUUAAUGCUCAGAUGAAAAAUUGCUGGUUUGCUAUGCUCGGAUUAUUAUAUUAUUAUUAUUGCUUGGUUUGCCUGCUGACAGCAACAGUGUGCGAUAAUAAUAGGAUCGCUCACAGACUUGUAGUGAGAUUGAAAUGAGUUCAAUGUAAAGCACUUCUUAGAGGUUCUGGAGUCUUCAGGGUUCAACGAGCUAAGGAGAAAGGAGGAGGCUUUGCAGGGAGCUAGACCCCAGGUGACAGGCACCUGCAUCCCCUGCUAGUGGCCGACAUUCAGUUCCCGGUGGGGCGGUGGGGGCGGGGACAAGAAAGAGGGCCAGAAGCGCGGGUGUCUGCAGGGCGGGGCUGGCCUGGGACGAGGCAAAGGGACCCGAGGGCCUGCGCGGGGGUGCGUCUAUCCCCCUUCGCCCCAUCUGCUUCGCUGGACUCUGCGUUGCUGAC